rnacentral:rRNA from 1 species
UACGGAGGGUGCAAGCGUUACUCGGAAUCACUGGGCGUAAAGAGCGCGUAGGCGGGAUAGCAAGUCAGAUGUGAAAUCCUAUGGCUUAACCAUAGAACUGCAUUUGAAACUGUUAUUCUAGAGUAUGGGAGAGGUAGGUGGAAUUCUUGGUGUAGCGGUGAAAUGCGUAGAUAUUAGGAGGAACACCAGUGGCGAAGGCGACUUUCUGGACCGUAACUGACGUUGAGGCACGAAAGUGUGGGGAGCAAACAGG